CCUACGGGGGGCAGCAGUAGGGAAUCUUUCACAAUGGGCGAAAGCCUGAUGGAGCAACGCCGCGUGCAGGAUGAAGGCCUUCGGGUUGUAAACUGCUUUUAUAAGCGAGAAAUAUGAUGGUAACUUAUGAAUAAGGAUCGGCUAACUACGUGCCAGCAGCCGCGGUCAUACGUAGGAUCCGAGCGUUAUCCGGAUUUACUGGGUGUAAAGGGAGCGUAGACGGCUGCGCAAGUCUGAAGUGAAAGCCCGGGGCUCAACCCCGGGACUGCUUUGGAAACUGUGUAGCUAGAGUGCUGGAGAGGCAA
rnacentral:rRNA from 1 species